ACGAAUUAGGGCAUGGAGAAUAAAAAGCAUAGAAAACCCUAAAAGAUUUGUAUUCCUUAUCAUUUUGUCUUCUCAGAUAAGACUCUUCUAGCAUUCAUUUGUGCAUGAUUUUUCUUGUUGGAUCUGGAGUUCAAACUGAGGCCUUUGCAUUGUACUGUCAAAGCAACCUAUGUUCGAGAGCGGAAGAUGCAACCUUGUCAGCUUCAAUGGUUCAUCAUUUGCAAAGGCAAUGAUGGAUAUUUAUUUUUUCUAUAUUCCAUUUUACAAGUGUUUCUUUCUUCUUUUGCACUUGUUCAGUUAUACCCAUGGCUUGUAUGGGCCCUUACACAUUUAUGUAAAUAAAGAGCUAUUCUAUGUAAUCAUUUUUAUAAACAUUCUUUGAAAUACUUUUCACAAUGAACAAAACUUUCAUAUUUCUUGCCAAACUUAUGAAAUGAAGAAAGUUUGAAAGGUUUUUUGUUUGUGUACCUUCCUUCAGGUUCAUGUGUAAGGCCUAUAAUAGGUCGCUAAAUGUAAUUGGUGCAAAAUGUAAAUAACAAUACACCUGCAACUCUCCCUACUUCUCUAGA